UCCGAAACGCCGCCGUGCUCGCCCAUGGAACGUCAAACGGCUGGCGCCGUGGGCGGUGAGCGGUGUUUCGGCGUUAAAGACUUUGCGUGUAAUUGUGAUGAAAUAUUAGCCGGUUAGCCUGCGAUGCGGGCAGUGUUAAAAUGCAGUUAAGCACUGAUUACAAGGCUUGAAUCAGAGCUUCCAUAGGUCUAUACACCGCC
rnacentral:sRNA from 1 species